rnacentral:rRNA from 1 species
UAUCCGGAUUUACUGGGCGUAAAGGGUGCGUAGGCGGUCUUUCAAGUCAGGAGUGAAAGGCUACGGCUCAACCGUAGUAAGCUCUUGAAACUGGGAGACUUGAGUGCAGGAGAGGAGAGUGGAAUUCCUAGUGUAGCGGUGAAAUGCGUAGAUAUUAGGGGGAACACCAGUUGCGAAGGCGGCUCUCUGGACUGUAACUGACGCUGAGGCACGAAAGCGUGGGGAGCAAACAGGAUUAGAUACCCUGGUAGUCCACGCUGUAAACGAUGAGUACUAGGUGUCGGGGGUUACCCCC